rnacentral:Y_RNA from 1 species
GGCUGGUCUGAGGGCAGUAGUAUUUACAAUUCACUGAUGGCAUCCAGUUAGAUUUCUUUAUUCCUUCUUCACUCCCCUGGCUUCACUUGACUAACCUUAA